GAUCACACCACUGUGCUCCAGCCUGGGCGACAGAGCGAGACUCCGUCUCAAAAAAAAAAAAAAUUGGUAAGCUUGGGGGUAAUUUGUAAUAUAGCAAUCAUCAACUGACAGAACUUGCCUGAAACAAAAUAUUUUUUUCAGCAAAGAACCUGCUAUUCUAAGCUUGCUGAAACUGGCUCUGUAUUGAAAACUAGAAUGGAAAGGAAUGUUUAGUGUCAGGGUAAAUUCAUGAAUCAGUGGACCCAACAGAAAUGCAGUGUGUGUGUGCGUGUGUGCGUGUGUGUGUGUGUGUGUAAAAUACAUCUCACUUCUUUGGAAGUGAAAGAUGAAUUUUUGGAAGAACAAAACUACAAUCAGUUCUUUGUUGUCAUUGAAAUCAUUUGAUAAUCCGAAGCAUGCACGCACACUCCCAAAAGAGUAGAAGAUGGUAGCUCACAAGACAAGGAAGACUGGUAAAGCUACUGAGGUCUGUGGGAGCUGCCCUGUAAGUCAGAAGUGCCCACAAGUUGGAGCCAUUAGGUUUUAAAUGACAGAAACCCAAUUCAAGCUAGUAAGCAAAAAGAGAAUUUAUUGUCUUACACAUCUGGGAAGUCCGGGGCUACAACAAACUUCGGUACUCCUGUUUACGGAGUUCUCUGUCUCCCUCAUCAUCUCUGGCCCUGCCUCCCUGUUUCUUUCCUCAACUUCUCCUGUGAGAAAUCACUUUCUUUGGCCACCAGUAGCCCAGCUUCUCAUCCUGAGUUUGCCUGCUCCAUGGCAAAAAGUGCCUUUCUCCUAACAACAAUUAAUCCAACCCUAGGAACAUUCUGAUUGCCUGGCUUGGGUUGUAAGCCUUUGGCAAGGGGAAGGUGGUGAAGAUGUUGUGAUUGACAGGUUUGCCUGGACCACAUGGAAAGAGAGGGAGUGAUUACCCAAGGAACCCAAGAGGAGGGUGGGUGAGAGGGCUGUUAAACAAAAAUAUAAUCACCGAAGCUCCCUACAACCUGGAGGCUUGAUGAGAAUAAGCCAUGACACAUGGUUGCUGUCGUAUGGUUGCUGUUCUAAACACAUGGUUGCUAUUCUUAUGGUGCUUCAGUGAGAUGCAACUAGAGGCUCAGGUUAUAGGCUGAGUUAAGCCAGGAAUGGGGUUUUCUUCUAGAAACUUCUGGAACUGAAAAGUUAAAUUACUAGGAAGUCGCUGGAGAGGUUAGCUGGCCCUCCAUGUCUAUUCUACUUAAAGCUGUUCGACUUAUAAGUAUGAGAAUUUAAUUCUUCUCCACUCAGCAAGAGAGAAGAAUGAGGUGUCUUUGCCUUUAUAUUUCUAAGAGAACUCAUUUAGAGUUUUAAAACACAGGGAGAUUAAGGAUGUAGGAAUGUGUGGAGGUGGUAGACAUCUGCUGAAUUUUUUUCAUAAGAGAGUUUGAGUUGAGAUUCUGACAUAUGCAGCCAAGAGAUCCUAAUAAAGCUGGUUCUAAAGAGAUCCAGAUUUUCAUAUUAGAACUAUAAUAAAUGAGAUUUAUGUGCUUUUAUGAAACUUUACGUUAGCAAUUAAAGUAUUUUGCACUGGAGGAUCAGUUCAAGGGCAAAUCUAUGCAAAAAUGUUCCAACUGAAACCUUUGUAUUCAGAAUCACAGUGUGUUAGAACUGAAAGAGGCCUGAAAGAUCCUAUUUGUUUUUUAAGUAAAAAGAAACAUCUUUUCAUAUGUUUAAUGGUUAUUUGUAUUUCUUCUUUUGUGAAUUGCCUUUUAAAAUUAUUUCUCAUUUUUCUGUUGGAACAUUAAUUUGCAAAUUAUUUGUAAGUGUUUUUAUAUGCAUAAUAUAAACAUAUUAUUUGUCAUAUACUGUAUGCAUCUUUCCUUUUUCCAUGUUAUAGUGCUGCUUUCUAUAUAUCCAUGAAGUUUUAAGUUUUUUGUAAGUUGAUUUAUCUCUUUGUAGAUUAUAUCUUAGUGUUUAUAACUAGUCAAAAGACUUCCCAAUACCCAAAUACACUAAAUAGCCACAUAUUUUAUUUUGCAAUUUUUAAAAUUUUAUUGAAUUUUAAGGAUCUGUCUUUAAUUUAAUUAUAUAUAAAUCUUUAACAAAUCUGAAAUUUAAUUUGUGAAGUAGGCAUCUAAUUUUAUUUUUUCCCAAAUGGUUAGCCAAAUAUUGCUGUACCAUUUAUUAAGUAAUCUAGUUUUUCCCUAUUCAACUGAAAUGCCACACUGACUUAAUGUUUUAUUUGUUUAUUUGAGGCGGCAGAACUUCUCAAAACAUUUAUUAACAGAGAACAAUGUUUCAUGUAAUUAGCAUUUGACUUAAUAGCUCAAUUUGAAGAAUGGAAAAAAUAAAGGGAAAUGAUAGAUUUCAGUACUACGAACAACAUUUGUUGGGACUUUUGAAGGUAGAUAAAUUGGAAGAAAAAGUAUUAUGUUGCUUUAUUUUAAAAAUAGAAGCUAGCAAUUUUUAGCUGCAUUUGAGGACUUUAUUUUCUUUUUGCAUUUUCUUCCCUGUGGUCUACAGAUUUCCUAGCAGACUUAACAUCUGGCAUUGGGGAAUCCUUAAACCCAAGGAAGGAACUGCUGGCAGGAAAUUUUCUGUGGAUGUUAGGAUUGGGAAAAGGGGAGAUGAAAUAAGGGAUGUGCUUCCUUAAGAUUAUAAACUCUAUCCACAAAGCCCCUGUCUGGAAUUCUGGGUUGAAUUGUAUCCUCCCCAACCCCCACCGAAAAAAAAGACAUGCUCUUCAACAUAUCUUCCUAACCCCCAGUAUCUCAGAAUGUGACCUUAUUUGGAAAUAGGAUCAUUGCAGAUAUAAUUAGUUAAAUAAAAAUGAGGUCAUACUGGAGUAGGGUAGGCCUCUGAUCCAAUAUGACUGGUGGCCUUAUUAGAAGAUGGCCAUGUGAAGACAGAAACACACAAGGAGAAGACCAUGCAAUGAUGAAGACAGAGACUGGAGUUAUGCAGCUGAAAACCAAGGAACAGCUUCUUAUGUACUUAAUUUGUGUCAGAUUUCACUACGUGUCAAAGCUUGCUAUAAAACCACCAGAAGCUAAGAAGAGAGGAAGGAUUCCCCUACAGGUUUCAGAGGAAACACGGCUCUGCUUACACCUUGAUUUCAGAGGCAACGUGUUGGACCUUCCGGAGCUUCUCAGAAGACAGAGGGUUUUCUUUUGAGGUAAAUUUGAUAGUACAUUUUGAUAGUACAGGAGGCGAUACGGCAUGGUGACAGAAAAGCGCCGGCUUGGUUAGCGGGACCACCUGGCAGGGCUGCAGGCUGUGCCACUUACCAGGCAGGGGACCUUGGGCCAGCUGCUUGGCCUCACUCACCCUGUUUCCUCAGCUGCAAUUGGGAUGAACAGACUGCCUGCUUCGGGGUUGCCUAAAACUCACAUUGCUUAAUGAUGUGAAAUGCUUAGCGCAGUGCCUGGCAUAGAGAGAAUUCUCAUUAGAUGAUACCUCAGCUGGGCUUUAGGAGCUACAGAAGAAGCUGCAUCUCCAUGAGCUCAGCGUGUUUCUAGCUUUCCUUUUUGUUUUCUAUUCAACCUUUCACCCAACUCAGCUUCUCAAUCCCUAAAUGACAAAGGUUUGGGAAGGAAGACUUGGACCGAUGCUUGCAUUUGUUUCUGAGAAUUAAACGUUAUGUUUUCUUCAAUCCAAA